rnacentral:rRNA from 1 species
GACGAACGCUGGCGGCGUGCUUAACACAUGCAAGUCGAACGGGCCCGCUCUCUUUUUUGGGGGUGGGUUGAGUGGCGAACGGGUGAGUAUCACGUGAGUAACCUGCCCCCUGCUCCUGGAUAACUGCUUGAAAGGGCGGCUAAUACGGGGUGUGCCGGCUGGUCCGCAUGGGCCUGGUCGGGAUAGUUUCAUCUUCGGGUGUUUCGGUGGGGGAUGGGCUCGCGGCCUAUCAGCUUGUUGGUGGGGUGAUGGCCCACCAAGGCGGUGACGGGUAGCCGGCCUGAGAGGGUGGGCGGCCACACUGGGACUGAGACACGGCCCAGACUCCUGCGGGAGGCAGCAGUGGGGGGUAUUGCACAAUGGGCGGAAGCCUGAUGCAGCGACGGCGCGUGAGGGAUGGAGGCCUUCGGGUGGUGAACCUCUUUCUCCGGUGGUGAAGGCCCUGUCCGUUGCGGCGGGGUUGACGGUAGCCGGGGAUGAAGCGCCGGCUAACUACGUG